rfam:Macaca mulatta chromosome 2, whole genome shotgun sequence.
GCCCAGGCUGGAGUGCAGUGGCUGGUGCGUCCCUCCCGAAGCUGCGCGCUCGGUCGAAGAGGACGACCAUCCCCGCUAGAGGAGGACCGGUCUUCGGUCAAGGGUAUACGAGUAGCUGCGCUCCCCUGCUAGAACCUCAAAACAACUUUUUUUUAAGGUCACUGUCAACCUUAUACAAUUUCUCAUGAUUGAAAGAGAACUUCUCAUUCCAA